rnacentral:tRNA from 1 species
GUCUUUUUAGUAUAAAAAUAUAAAUGACUUCCAAUUAUUAGAUCUCAGCCAACUUGAGAAAAGACA